rnacentral:lncRNA from 1 species
UGCUUCCUCCUCCUCCAGCCUUACCCGGGGCGCUCCGUGGCUCAGGAACAGAACAUUCUGCUUGGAUCUUCUAUGGGGGCCUUUCAGCCCCAGGCAGAUCCCUCCCCCGGGCCCGACUCUUCAUUCAGUCAACCCUUGCGGGGGGAGGAACAUGGGUCUCUCUUUGGACAAUGAUUUUUAGGACUCUUACUCUUGGAAUCCAGGUCCCAUGUUGUAAAGAAGCCCAGACCCCGUGGAAGCCAUUCAGCUGAGCUAUCAGUCAACGGCCAGCUCCAGCCACCCACCACGUGGGUGAGUGAGCCUUUAGAAGAUUCCAGACCCAGCUCAUGGCAACGGGAGCAGGAGGGAGCUGUCUCUAUUGGACCCUGCCCAAACUGUACUUUCGCAAAUAAUGAGCAUGUCACAAACACGUCUGUGUGAAGUCAUUAGGUGGAGAGUGGUUCAUUAUGCAGAAGCAGGUAACUGGAAUGACUAACCUUGAAUUUCUGCCUGCCCUGACCAGCUGUGUGAACUUGAGUAAGUUCAACAACCUCUCUGAGUCUCAAGUGUGGAAUCAGGACAGUAAUAAAAUAAAGCUAACCUUUCUCAUGAGAAAUCCUCCUAACACCCACGAAUGGGAACUUGGGCAGGAAGCAGAGACAUGGAAGCUUGAGCCUGAGGGACCGAGAGGCCAGACAGAGGCCCCCAAUUACCUCAGCUAUCGACGAUCCAGGCAGCGGAGUGCUGUGGCCGUCUCAGUAA